rfam:Homo sapiens chromosome 1, GRCh38 reference primary assembly.
GCUGGGCGUGGUGGUGCACGCCUGUAGUCCCAGCUACUCAGGAGGCUGAGGCAGGAGAAUUGCUUGAACCCGGGAGGUGGAGGUUGCAGUGAGCUGAGAUGGUGCCACUGCACUCCAGCCUGGGCAACAGAGUGAGACUCUGUCUCAA